rnacentral:rRNA from 1 species
GAUGAACGCUGGCGGCGUGCCUAAUACAUGCAAGUCGAGCGAAUGGAUUAAGAGCUUGCUCUUAUGAAGUUAGCGGCGGACGGGUGAGUAACACGUGGGUAACCUGCCCAUAAGACUGGGAUAACUCCGGGAAACCGGGGCUAAUACCGGAUAACAUUUUGAACCGCAUGGUUCGAAAUUGAAAGGCGGCUUCGGCUGUCACUUAUGGAUGGACCCGCGUCGCAUUAGCUAGUUGGUGAGGUAACGGCUCACCAAGGCAACGAUGCGUAGCCGACCGGAGAGGGUGAGCGGCCACACUGGGACUGAGACACGGCCCAGACUCCUGCGGGAGGCAGCAGUAGGGAAUCUUCCGCAAUGGACGAAAGUCUGACGGAGCAACGCCGCGUGAGUGAUGAAGGCUUUCGGGUCGUAAAACUCUGUUGUUAGGGAAGAACAAGUGCUAGUUGAAUAAGCUGACACCUUGACGGUACCUAACCAGAAAGCCACGGCUAACUACGUGCCAGCCGCCGCCGUAA